rnacentral:lncRNA from 1 species
GCCAGUUGUAAACUUUCUAUUUCUAUGUGGCAUAUGAAGUACAUAUAUUAUCUCCAGAUUGUUGAUUUUUCAUCUUUUGCAACUCUUUUCUAUGACUGUGGCUGAUGUAAUACUUUGAAAAUUUUACUCACGCCAUCACGAAUUAGUUGACCGUUAUAGAUUUUCUGUUUCAUAGAAAACGACGGAUAUGUUCUGUCGUCU